UUCUCCAAUUCGAAACUGCCGGACGCCCAGGCAAUGAACGAAGGCACCAUGUCGAUGCUGUCGGCUGUGCAUUCAGGAGCCAAUUUCAUUCUCCAUUCGG
rfam:Hoeflea sp. IMCC20628, complete genome.